CAUCUUCAAACAUCUAUUAUUGUUAAUGAAAAGCCUGAUGCCAAUCUGAUUCUUGUUUAUUUAUAGGUAAAUUAUUUUUCUUUUCUCUGGAAGAUUUAAGAAUUUUCCCUGUAUUCUGGGAGAUGAAAUUUCACCACAAUAUGCCUAAUAGAGGUGUGAUGAUGAAUCGAAGUGGAAACAGUGGACAUCCUUGUCUUGUUCCUGAUCUUAAGAGGAAAGCCUUCACUCUUUUACCAUGAAAAAGGAAAUGGAAGAACAGUAAAACGGGGAAACCAGAUAACCUAGUUAACUAGAACUGGGUGUAAAUCAAGAGGCUAGAGGCUCUCAGGUUUUUUGUUGAUGCUAAAUGGGCAGAAAGAGAACUGCGAAGCAGAAGAAAUGGAUUCAAACUCAGAUUCUGCCAUUUACCAGCAACAACUUCAACUCGUCCAUGGAAGAGUCACAGACAGAAUGAUUUUAAUUUUUAAAAAAUUUCUCGGGCUUCCCUCGUG